GCGAUGUAACUACGACACAUAUAUUUAACGUGGUUCAUCUCUAGGACUACGUCCACGGGCAAAAAGAGAUCUUAUUAUUGGAGGCGAUAUUGAGUUUAUAGAGUACAAAUUUAAAGUUAAUUUGAAUACAAGAUGUAUAUACCAACAUCUUGCAUUUAAAACCCUAGACUAUACAAAUUCAUAGGCCUAAAUCCACUAUCAGAUGUAACAUCCAUAAUAACUUGAUGCUAUACUCUUGAUGCAACCGAGUCGGUACGUCAUGUAACAUUCAUCCUCUAGAUGUAACAUUAAGUUUCAAAACAUAUCGACACAUUUCUCUACGGUUAACACUAGUUGUCAGAGUUUCUAGGCAUAUAAGUGUCAGGGUCGACAGACUGUAUAUGAGGUGAAAUAAAACUAUUCAAGUGCAACGUAUCUUUUGUCGAAACUAGUUUUAAAAAAUGAACUUUUUCUUUUCUUUCGUUCUUUAUCAGAACAGCAUAUGUGACUUGGCAUAUGGGUUCUGAGGAAACAGACAGAAAACGCAUUUGGUAUUUUGGUUGUAUGCGCAACAUCAUUCAAGGAAUUGAGGACAUAAUUUAACGAUACAAUAAACGUGAGCAAAAAUUAUUUGGCGAAGGGAAAGACAAGUCUUUGUUGUUGUCGUACAGACUUCAUUUUUAUGACUAGGACAUAUGAUAUCUGUAUAUUAAAGCAAAAUUCCUAUUAAAAUUUUGUCUUUGGUUUUCAUAUAUAAUUACAUUGCAAUGCCAUUAUCAUUUAAUUGUCAAUUGUCAUUUAAUUGUUAAUUAGAAAUUCAUUAAUGAUCAUAGUUAUUUAUACAUACUUCCUAAUAUGACAAUAUAUUUUGCAAUAUUAAAGCAAAAUCUCUAUUAGGAUUUUGCCUUUGGUUUUCAUAUAUAAUUACAUUGCAAUACCAUUAUCAUUUAAUUGCCAAUUGUCAUUUAAUUGUUAAUUAGAAAUUCAUUAAUGAUCAUAGUUAUUUAUACUUCCUAAUAUGACAAUAUAUUUUGCAACACUAUACGUUUUAAUAUAAUUAAUACAAUAUGAUUUGAACAUUAAUAAGUUUGUAGUCUUACAACAUCACAAAUAAACUAAAUAUAUUUUCUAAACCUAGAACAUGGUGAACGUUAUAAUCUUCUUAGCCUUAUUCAUUCUUCCAUUGUACAAUAAUUUAUAGCACAAGGCGAAGAAUACAAAUAUAUAUAUAUAUAUCAUUAUAAAUUAGACUUAUUACAUGCUGAAAAAAGUAAUAUGUUUAAUAUGCUUGAAAUCACAAUGUAUCAAUUUUGACAUUUGUAAAAAUAUUAUUCUAAGCUAAUCCCCGAACGAUAAAUCCAAACUCCAAAACAAAACCAUCAACCCUGUUUUCUUUUCUUUUGAUCAAACUACUUGUAUUAAACUAAAUAGGUCUUUCACUCCAUAGGAGGUACAUCAGCACAUAAGAGAGCCAACUUUGCCACAUUGUCGACCUCAGUGUUUUGUAAACGAGGAACAUAACAGAAGGAGAUGGUAUCAAAUAGACGACAAAGGUGAUAGAUAUCAAAUAUAAUGCCAUACAACGCCGGCUUUGAUUCUUUUGUCUUCAAUAGAGAGAUGAGGACCAAUGAAUUUAAGAGAUCAUUAUGAGACCAUCAACCCUGUUUUUAUUGAUAAAUUAUGAGAUUAUUUUUAAAUUAUAAAUUUAUUAUAAUUUUCCCAAAUCCACGUAUUCUAAUCAACAGGUUGAGAUCAACUAUUAGUAUCCUUAUCUUGGCAGUUUUAAAAGAUCUGAUAGCACCAAUAAUAGAGGAAACUCCUAAACUACAAGAAUAUAUUUCUAAAAAUAUAUUGUCCAUUUUAUACCAAUCAUACAGAUAUAAUCAUAUUUAAAAGAUUUUAUUAGAUCAAUAAUAUAGUAUUUUCUUAGAUUAAACGAAAAAUAUUCCUAAAUAUCUAUUUUUCAUUUUUUAAAUAUCAAUUAAACAAUCUUAUAUGAAUCAGUAAUAAAUAUAUUAUCUCUUAUAACUUGGGCCGCUCUAUAUGUACUAUCUACACGAUUUAAAACUAUUUAAUUUAAAAAUAUUUCAACUAAAUAUUACUAUUCCUAUUUUAUUGUAACUUAAAUCCAUAUAUAGUUAUGAUUUCAAUCGACAUAUUCAUAUCAAUUGUUAGUUUCAACUUCUUGGUAAUUUCAAAAGAUUUAAUAACACCAAAAUAUAGGAACUUCCUAAACUAAACAAUUUUAUUCCUAUAAUAUAUUGUCCAUUUAGAAUAAAAAGUUGGCUAAUCUACACCUAUAAAUACAACAAUAUCUAUCAUUUCAUACGUCACCACUAUUCCAACCAAACCGAUUUAGUUAGGUCAUCUAUGACAAUCAAACAAAUGUACACAACCGAAAAGAAAAUUGAAGAAAGCUUAGAGACAUCAAACACAAACCUUCUAAGACUUUGGCGAUUCAGUAACAAAUCUGCUGAUUGUCCAAGAAAUUAUUUGUAAUAUACAACAACAUAUUAUUUAAAUCAGAUUUUUAAAAACAAAUAAAAGCGCGGGUCUUAUAAUUUAAACAAACGGAAUGACCUUGGGCCCUUGUAAGAAUUCUAUUAUCUUGUUUAGGCUUCAGUAUCUUGGUUCGCUAUGGGUAUAUAUUAUGAGUUUUUUACACUUAGGGUCAGUUUCUGAGUUUUAAUUACAUUAAAAGACAGUUUGUGCUCCUCAGACAUUUUCUUUAACUCAUUAUAUUCUCUUCUAACCAGCGUAACUAAAGUAUCAUUUAGAAGGAGCCACUUCUUUUACCUUCUCACAAUUUUUCUCCAGUUUUGUUUAUAGCAAUUUUUUUCAAUAGCCACCAAAUUAAGAUCUGCUCGUGAGCACCAAACCACCACGCUCUCUGUUCUUGCUCAAGUCUCAUGUGAAGCGUUUGUAAAUGAAAACUGAGACACAUAAAUUGAACUCGAGGUCUCCUUGUUGCUGCCUUAGUCGUCGUCAACAAAUCACCUCCGGAUCACUCCGCUACGCUCAUCUUCACCGCCGUGGCCAUCUGGAGUCGUUGUGGCUGUGGUGUUUUGUUUCAAUUCGGCCACUGAGUUGGGCAAAUUAAAAAAAAAAGGUAACUUUCUGAGUUUAGACGUUUUAAAUAGAGUUUUAAAUGAAAUUUUUACAAGCUUGAGAUAUAAUAAACAUGGAAAAUGAAAAAAAAAAGUGAUGAAUAAUGGAAAAAUAAUGGCUAGCGGCUGUAGAGAGAAAUUGCAGAAAAUCCCAAUUGAUUUAGAAAGAAGAUGAUAAAAUUACGAAAAUACCACUUAUUAAAGAAAGCAUUAAAAAGAAGCCAAACGCGUUGCCUAUGCGAGUCGAACCGACGUACAUGAUGUAGAGCAUAACCAUCAUAACCACCAGACUAAAGCACCUAUUUAGUAUCAAUGCUGUAGACUAUUUUCUAUAUAUCUAAUAUCGGGAUAUAAUCAAUUUAGUAUUUCAUCAAUCUAGUAUUUCAUCGUGUGAUUAGUUUGUUGUUUGUCCACAAUGUUUUGCGGAGAAUGAGUAACAUAAAUCUGGUUUUGUAGUAGGUCUUUGUCCUCCCCUAAAGAAUGAAUCAUUUCUUGUUUCUUGUGUAUGUUGUUGUAAUGCUAUAUGUAUGUAUUUAUAUGUACAUGAUACCUUAUACCACAAUUUCAUUGUACACAUGUACAACGAUUUACAUCUCUUAGACAUUAUUUGAGAAGUCAUUUACCAUGUGUUAUCACCAUAUUAAUUUUGAAAGAUAAAAAAUGUCAUGGCAUACUAACAAUGAUGACAUGGCUUGAAGCAAAUUGUGACAUAGACAUUUACAUUUAAUGUUAAUUUAUAUUUUUAGUAAGUUUUUUAAAAUAUGGUAAUAAGUUAUAGAUGACAAUUAAUAUAAUAAUAAAUAUGGUAUUAACUUAUUGAUCAUUAUUAAUAUAACAAUAAAUAAUAUAAAUAUUAGAAAUAGAAAUAUAUUAAGAUUUUACAAUUUUCGAAAUAUUAUAUAGUUACAUUUUUAUAAUUAUAUAAUUUUUGUUACUAAAAAAUUCUUUAAAAUCAGUUUUUUUUUAUAAAAUGUAAUUUUAUUAUCUCAACACCAUUAGCUUCUUUUUAAUAUCUACAAAUUUUAGAAAUAUUAUUUAGUUUUAAAUUCCGAUAAUUAUAUACCUAAAAAUUUGUUUUAACUUAUAGAAUUUGAUUUAUUAUAUCUUAACCAAAAGAUAUAGAUAAAAAAUCUUUCCAAAAUUAUAAUGUGAAAUAUAUUAAUAAAUUUUUACUUAAUUUUUUAUAUUAUUUUUUGCAUAUAAUUAAAUUAAAAUAAUAAUUAAAUAUUGUAAACAAAUUAUAAAAUAUAAAAAUUAACAAAAUUUUAUUUUAAAUAUAAUUUAAAUUUUAAAAUUUUUAUUUCUGCAUAUUGUGCAGGAAGACACCUAGUUUACAUUAGAUUUGACUAAGACUUAGUUAUUUAGAUAGAAAACCUACAAGAAAACAAAAAUUGUGUACACAAUAUUUUUAUGUAAAAUACAACUUAUGUGUACACAUGUACAGUUUGAAUGUAAUGUACACACGACUUUUCUUUUAAAGCAAAUAUGAUACCACAAUUUGGAAAAUUAUUCACAUGUACACUGUAAAAAAUUUCACCAAAACCAUAUAUUGUUUUUUUGUGGGGACCAUAAAUCUUAUUUUGCAACUUAAUCACAAAUCCCACUUUUGUGCGUAAAAAAAUUAAAAUACUCAUUUUACCUAAUUUGUAAAAUACUUCAUCCGUUUCCGAAAGAAAAAUUUUCUAGAGUAUUCAUGCAUAUUAAAAAUACGAUUAUAUUUAGAAAAUCUAUCUGUAUAUAAUAAGAAAAAAAAUCUGAAAAUCUUACUUUCUUAAAACAAAAUUAAUUUUCAUCAAAAUUAAUCUGUCAUUAAACAUAUUUUUCUUUGGGGUAAGGCAUAUAUGAGGCAUGUGCCAAAUUGUAACUUUAAAAGCUAUUUAAUGUGUACAAUAUACUAUGUACACAAAUUUAUUAUUAUCCAUAUGUACAAUGAUUUAUAUGUACAUUAAUAAACUUGUACAAUAAUACGUAGAAACCAGAUAGUUUUUAAGAUAUAUGAGCAAGAAUUCACAUGUACACAUGAUACUUUGUUAGAUACAUUUACUCUUGUAUGAAAGUAUGGUGAAAUUUGGUUGAAUUUAAGAGUUUAAAGAACAUAUGUAAGUGUACACAUGUACACUUUGAAGUUAAUGUACAUAUGUACAUUAUGAAGUUGAUGUACACAUGAAACUAGCAUGAAAACACACACACACUAAUUAGAAGCUCUUAAACAAGGUGUGAAGGAUGAUAUUUGGGUUCAGUCAUAAAUCAAAGAUGCCCCGAUCCUGUGUGUACAUGGGAAGAAGGUAAAAAAAUUCACAGGUCCCUUAUGACGAGAGAAGAGCUGAUAUGAUGCUGAGUUGUUGCGUAUGAAGAAGAAGUUGGAUUCAAAACUGAGCAUUCUACACCAAUUUCGUCUUGAUACAGGAUCAGAGGUAUCAAAAGUUUCGUCUUGACUGCCAUCAUCGUCUUUAAGAUCGUCUCCUUCCACUCUGCUAUAAUUCCAACCUCUUGUUUCCAUAUUUUUUCUGUAAUGUUUUUGUAACGACCCAAAUCUCUGCCUGAAAAAAUUUACCCCAAUAAGAUCCAGUUACAUUGUAGAAAACCCUAAGUUCCUCUUAUAUAAAGAAAAAUUUGUGUUGGCC